GAGCUCUUUUCACAUUGUGCUACUGUCUUCACCUAUAACGAGCAGUGCAAUGUUAAAAGGGCAUC
ensembl:miRNA Mir130a microRNA 130a